UACAGAGGGUGCGAGCGUUAUUCGGAAUUACUGGGCGUAAAGCGUGCGUAGACGGUCAAGUAAGUCGGGUGUGAAAGCCCCGGGCUCAACCUGGGAAUUGCAUUCGAGACUGCGUGGCUAGGGUGCGGAAGAGGGAAGCGGAAUUUCCGGUGUAGCGGUGAAAUGCGUAGAUAUCGGGAGGAACACCAGUGGCGAAGGCGGCUUCCUGGCCUGUUCUUGACGCUGAGGCGCGAAAGCUAGGGGAGCAAACGGG
rnacentral:rRNA from 1 species